UGAAGAGAGCAGAUGCCUGCUCAAACCAAUGGAAUGCUCAACAAACUGAGUCCAGGAGAAGAAAUUGCUCCUGAGUGCUGAAACUGGAUGACCAUGUGGCCUGGACUUACAAUUGUUACCAUGGAGAUGAGAAUAUGAAAACCUAAAGCACAGAGCUGACAACAGUAAGUUCCCA
rnacentral:lncRNA from 1 species